GUGUUCUAGAAAAACGAAAUGAAAUCGCUGUGUUGAUCAUUAAGUGGCGUUGCCGGUAUGCUGGCGUUUAGCGCGGCUAUGGCUCGUCGGGUUGGGGGUUGGGUCUUGCCACUUGCAGAUCUUUUCGGUUGAACAAACAAAAAAAUCAUACCGGACUUCAAACUAAAUUAAAAAAGGGGGUAAAAAGAAGCCUGAAACAUGUCAACAAAAAAUUUAAAAAGAAGAAAACGUUCACCUAACUGCAACCAAAUCCCAAAAUAACCUUAGUUUUUUUUUUUUUUUCACCGAAACAGUGCUCCUGGCGGCUGACCAGCCAGGAGAUAGCCCUCCCUCCGAGAACACCUCUCGCCAUGACGUCUACUCAUACUGGACGUCCCAGUUCUGACCCUUGACUUACCACAUUUUAUCCCAUCCCCACCACCUUUUUUAAUAGGGCUUUAAGCCGAAGACAUUUUUAUCUUUUCAGGUUUAAUCCAGUACAUAUUUAUUAAAACUAUAUUACAUAUUUGGCAGAAAAACAAUUCAUUCCAUCGUAAUUUGAAUCAAAAUCUAACAAUUUACAGCGAAUUAUAAUAUAAAAAUUUCAGAAAAAAACAAAGAAUUGCCAAUAAAAAUCAAUUUUCGAAAGUAAUCUUUUCUUUUUGUACUUUUAGGGCUUAACGGCGGGCACCCAGAGCGUAGAACCUUGGCGGCAGCUUGUGACUAAGGCUUUUUCCCAAAACAUGAGGACGAACAAAGGAAUGUAGGUCGAUACCACAUUAAAUCGACGAUCUAAACAAUGCCUGGUAACCUAACCUUGAAUUGAGCUCAGUUCAAUGUCGCGUACCUGCAUACCAACACAAAGAAAAACCGCGGAAUUUAAUUAUGUAGCUUAGUCGUCCGUCUGUCUGUCCGGAGUUAAAUAAGUUGCAGUGUCAAUUGGGAAUGAUACCAAGCCACGCUGGAGCAGCAAUGGCGUAAACUCUGCGCCUCCCUCGGUGGAUUGGAUGGGCGAUGGUGUGGCUUGUAGGCUCCAAUUCUUCAGGAAUUUCUAGGUUUAAGAUUUAUUUUC
rnacentral:sRNA from 1 species